rnacentral:rRNA from 1 species
GAUGAACGCUGGCGGCGUGCUUAACACAUGCAAGUCGAACGGGAUCCAUCAGGCUUUGCUUGGUGGUGAGAGUGGCGAACGGGUGAGUAAUGCGUGACCGACCUGCCCCAUACACCGGAAUAGCUCCUGGAAACGGGUGGUAAUGCCGGAUGCUCCGACUCCUCGCAUGGGGUGUCGGGAAAGAUUUCAUCGGUAUGGGAUGGGGUCGCGUCCUAUCAGGUAGUCGGCGGGGUAACGGCCCACCGAGCCUACGACGGGUAGCCGGCCUGAGAGGGCGACCGGCCACAUUGGGACUGAGAUACGGCCCAGACUCCUACGGGAGGCAGCAGUGGGGAAUAUUGCACAAUGGGCGCAAGCCUGAUGCAGCGACGCCGCGUGCGGGAUGACGGCCUUCGGGUUGUAAACCGCUUUUGAUCGGGAGCAAGCCUUCGGGUGAGUGUACCUUUCGAAUAAGCACCGGCUA